rnacentral:rRNA from 1 species
GUCCUUUAGAUUUAUAAUUUAAGGUCUAACCUGCCCAAUGAUUAAUUUAAUGGCCGCAGUAUUUUGACUGUGCAAAGGUAGCAUAAUCAUUAGUUUUUUAAUUGAAAGCUUGUAUGAAUGGUUGGACGAGAAAAAAUCUGUCUUUAAUUAAUAAUUUGAAUUUAAUUUUUUAGUUAAAAAGCUAAAAUUUUAUUAAAAGACGAGAAGACCCUAUAGAUCUUUAUAUUAAAUUAUUUAAUUUAAAUUUAGAAUUUUAAAUUAUUUAUUUAAUUUAAUAUUUUAUUGGGGUAAUAAAAAGAUUAAAUAAAUUCUUUUUUUAAAAAAAUAUUAAAUUAUAAAUUUUAGAUCCAUUAUUAAUGAAAUAUGAUUAAGUUACCUUAGGGAUAACAGCGUAAUUUUUUUAAAGAGUUCAUAUCGAUAAAAAAGUUUGCGACCUCGAUGUUGGAUUAAAAGUAAUCUUAGGUGUAGAAGUUUAAGAUUUUGGUCUGUUCGACCAUUGAAUUUUU